AUGAAGAGCUGGGACGCCGGUCCUUCCUCCUCCGGCAGCUCGCCGGAGAAGCAGGCACGCCCCUCCAAGCAGGGGCGUGAUGAAGACGGCGACGAGCUCGCCGUCGAGGAUCGCCGCCCCCACCUCAACACUCGAGUCAAGAGACCGCGGCUCUCCAUCGAAUCGGAAGACGAGCAAGAUUCUUCCUCCGGGAGCUCGCCGGAGAAGCAGGCACGCCCCUCCAAACAGGGGCGUGAUGAAGACGGCGACGAGCUCGCCGUCGAGGAUUGCCGCCCCCACCUGCGGGAGCGGCUCUCCUUGGACACGGAGGGAGACCAAGGUACGGAGCUGUCCCCAAGCCUACCCCUGCUGGAGGAGAUGCCCCAGGACGUGAUUGUGAGCGUUCUGAGGACCAUCGGGGUCCGAAGCGGGGUUCAGGUCAGCUCCUCUUGUUCGUAUCUGCGAGAGUUCGUGAUGAAGAAUGCAGCCCCAUGCUGCGGAAGGUAUCUGCAGAUCAAAGCUUGUAGAAUCGAAGGAGACGCAACCAUAGCUACACUGAGCACGGAUUUGCUAUGCAAAGUCAUGUCCAAGCUUGACCCUUUUGCAAUGUCAGCCCUGGGAGGAUCCUGUUCGGCUUUCAGGUGUUUGCUCGCCUCACCACCCACGCGUGGUUUGAUUGAAGAUUUUGGAGAGAAGCGCAUUCCCCUUGGUGCUCUGACGGUAACUCCAAUCAGCCCAUAUCCUGUUCUACUUUCUUCAAUGCUCCCCGCUAGGCAGAGGCCUGCAAGCGAUCUGUUCGCUGCCUUUUGGCGUAGAUUCGCAGCAGAAAGGGUGAUAGGGAGAGUAGAGAUAUCAGACUGUAGAGAUGGCUUGAUUCUGCUCAAGGGGAGAGCCAUCAGGCGUUUUGUUGUGUGUGCUCCACUGGCGGCCAACAUGUACGCGAGGCUACUGCCACAGCUCUCCAAUGACGGUGAUCAUGUUUACAUGUCUGCUUCAGUUCUUCGAGAUAAGAAGGCUGCCAUAGAGUUCUCGGUUACUGUUCUUAUGGGUGAUCUCCAGAGCGCCAACGUGACAAUUAACCAGUACCAAUCAAAGACAGGCCAAUGGAGUUCCAGGCGCUGCCCGUGGCUAACUCCUGCAACAUUGCAGUCGGAGAUUAAGCAACCGUCUGUUCUGUGCAAAAACACUAUAUGGUUCCUGCAGCCGAUGCUGCAACUGAUCUCUGUCGACCCAGACAAGUUAACAGUUGGCACGCUGCCCUUUCCGCCCCUUGACGGCAUUUCAACUGUCAACCAUGCUCUCCUGGAGCGAUCUCAGGGAUCAAUUUGCCUAGUGAUGAUCACAGAUAACAGAGUAAUGGUCUUCGAGCUGACACUGAUGGCGACGCAUGGAGCUUAUUCAAGCAGUUUCACGGUCCUCCUGAUGGAUGCCGGCUUAUUGGAACAGGUUUUCAAAAAAUCCUGGUGCAUUCUGGUGAAAGGCUGCGAUACAUUGACAUUGGGGAUGGUAUUUUCAAAGACGUGUCCCUGGUCUUCAACGUUGUCAGACAAGCUUGGUGUUACGAUGUUCCAUACCCACCUAGGACAGACUUGUUUCGUAGGCUACAGAGAGUUGGGACUGCAUUGGAGGUCAAGGAGCACGAAGGGCUGA
rnacentral:rRNA from 1 species